UACAGAGGGUGCGAGCGUUGUCCGGAAUCACUGGGCGUAAAGGGCGCGUAGGUGGUGGCUUAAGCGUGCGGUGAAAGCUCGGGGCUCAACUCCGAGUCGGCCGUGCGAACUGGGCUCACUGGAGCAUAGUAGAGGCAGGUGGAAUUCCGGGUGUAGCGGUGGAAUGCGUAGAGAUCCGGAAGAACACCGGUGGCGAAGGCGGCCUGCUGGGGCUAUGGCUGACACUGAGGCGCGACAGCGUGGGGGAGCAAACAGG
rnacentral:rRNA from 1 species